CUGUGUUUUUGUAGAGAAUAAUGAAAAAAAUGAGGAAUUGUAUGGUAAUGUAUACUUAGCAAGAAAUAUAGUUCCUAGCCAAAUAAAAAACAAAUUUUUGGAAAUUAUAAAUUCUGCAAGAAAAGUUAACAAAACCCCACAAGAUAUUGAACUAAAAGGCACAAUAGUGCUACUCAAAAAGAUUGAAAAUAAUAAUAAUGAAAAAUUUAGUGACGAAGAAAUAAUAGAUGAUUCAGACUACAUAACUUACACUGAAAGCCAGAAUUCAGAAUUCAUUAAACUUCCUAAAGAUCAUUAUAAAAUUAUCGUAAUAGGUGGUAGUAAUAAAAAGAAGGAAACUAUUGCGAGAGACGGUUUGAGUAUUGAAACCAUAAACAACUCUGACACGGAAAACCUAGAAAGAAACAAAAAAUCCAUUUUAAGAGAUACUUAUGAAGACGCUUGUAUAAAACUUGCUAUCCGAAAGUGCUAUAUGGUAAAAGUUAAAAGUGUAUCAAGUUGAUUAAAAACUAAUUCUUAAAAUUCAUCCUUUAAUCAUAUUUGUCAGAUACAAUAACAGGAUAGACUAUAUGAACUGAUAUAUACACACUAAUCAUUUAAAUUAUGUAGGAAAUUUAUACGAUUUUUCCAGGCAUUACUCGCCGUUAACAAAAACGUAUGUAAGGCAAGAUUCAAGUGCCAAUCAAAAUUCAAGAACUGCUUCAAAAACAAGUCUAAAAUGGCUUGUAUUCAAGAGUUUGACUACAGUAAAGGUCGUAACAGUAAUAAUGCUACACACCUGAAGCAUUUUGUAAAAUUUAGAGGUAAGCACCAUAAGAAUAAGUUUUGUAGAUUUAUCAUGAAAGUAAUGUCCAAUUUCAUCAUUUCAGAGAGUAAAUUUGUAGAUGCCACGAGAGAAGGAUAUCUUGAUGCGUGUAUACCUUACAUGAUACCAGAUUAUAAGGUACCCUUAAGGGAAGAAGGAAGGAGGGUGGGAGGGAGGUUUAUUACCUUACGAAACGAAACACCAGUUAACUAUUUUACAAACGUCUUACGUGAAAGAUCAUCCGAUAAAGAAUGCCAAAGACUAUCACGAGCAAAGUGCCUCAAAGCUUGCCGUCACGCACUGAAUGGAUGCUGCGAAGAAUAUCAUUGCGCUGGCAAAAGGAAGAGAGUUUUCAACAAAGUCUGUAGGGAUGAAUGCAGGCGAAAGUAUCAAAUUAUAAAAUCAGAAAGUGAAAGUAGUAGUGAAUGAUAAUGUAAAAUGGGAUUUAGUUCAUUUCAUUAAUAAAGUUAUGUAGAUCUGUAUAUUGUUUGAGUCAAAUGUAUCCCCGAUAUAGUUUAGAAAAGUUUUUAAGGUUCACUAAAUGAAGAAGAGAGCAGAUAUUUAUACGGUUUAAGCUUUUCAUUGUAUAGGUAC